rnacentral:rRNA from 1 species
UACGUAGGGGGCUAGCGUUGUCCGGAUUUAUUGGGCGUAAAGAGCGUGUAGGCGGCCAGAUAGGUCUGCUGUGAAAACUCGAGGCUCAACCUCGAGAUGUCGGCGGAAACCAUUUGGCUAGAGUCCGGAAGAGGAAAGUGGAAUUCCUGGUGUAGCGGCGAAAUGCGCAGAUAUCAGGAAGAACACCCGUGGCGAAGGCGGCUUUCUGGGACGGUACUGACGCUGAGACGCGAAAGCGUGGGGAGCGAACAGG